UAUGAAGUGACCUGUCUGGCAUGAUGUACCAUCCCAACUGGCCAAGGAGAAGGUUGCCAGGUCAUCGUAGCAGACUAAGAACUGAUUUGAAGCCUCAGAGGAGGUCAUACUGGGGCAACAAAACCUACAAGAAGAGCAUAAUUUUUCUUGAGCUGGAAGCUUUUAUUUCACUACAGCUGAAGCUUGUCAGU